rnacentral:rRNA from 1 species
GACGAACGCUGGCGGCGUGCUUAACACAUGCAAGUCGAACGGAAAGGCCCUGCUUUUGUGGGGUGCUCGAGUGGCGAACGGGUGAGUAACACGUGAGUAACCUGCCCUUGACUUUGGGAUAACUUCAGGAAACUGGGGCUAAUACCGGAUAGGAGCUCCUGCUGCAUGGUGGGGGUUGGAAAGUUUCGGCGGUUGGGGAUGGACUCGCGGCUUAUCAGCUUGUUGGUGGGGUAGUGGCUUACCAAGGCUUUGACGGGUAGCCGGCCUGAGAGGGUGACCGGCCAAAUGGGGAUUGAGAUACGGCCCAGACUCCUACGGGGGGCAGCGGGGGGGAAUAUUGCAAAAGGGGCGGAAGCAUGAUGCAGCAACGCCGGGUGGGGGAGGACGGCCUUCGGGUUGUAAACCGUUUUCGCCUGUGACGAAGCGUGGGUGGGGGUAAUGGGUAAAGAAGCACCGGCUAACUACGU